AGCUGGCUCUGCACCCGACAGCAGUGAGCUGGGUGCGGGGCUGGAACUCACGAACCUCGAGACGGUGCCCUGAGCCCCCCAGGCGCCCCUAGACCUUUAAAAGUGCAUUUCUUUCUCUGCCCGUUUUCUUUUAGCUGGUUGACUAGGCUGAGUGUAGUAUCUGGAAACUGGCCGGCUGCCACUGAUAAUCCCCAACUCCAGUUUUAGUCAUUUGAUUCCUUUUCUGUGCCCAGUCUUGCAGCAGAGCUUCACUUCCUUGUUGCGCCUCUGGCCCCUCUCACAGAUUUGCUUACGAGCAGUAGGAGCCAAAGGAAUUGGUACUCGCAGAAGUAGUCUUGGAAGCUCUCCUGUUUAGAGGACCUUUUAAAACUAUGGCCCCUCCUCUGCCUGCAGUGACAGCUGAGACCUGGUGAGC